UUCGGAAAAACACUGCACGGCUCCCCAGGAGUGCUUUUCCUGGAAAUAAUAUCUUUUUGACAUUAUUCCCAAGACAGUGUGAGAAGGUGUUGCCUAAACCUGUGGAAAAGUCCGUGCGUGAAUUUCCAAGGCAAGGCUGCUUGCUAAGAGAAAAAAUGCUAAAGAAGAGAGGUGCCACUGCUCUGAUUGGAAAUCCACCUGAGUUUUUACCCUCGUGCGACCUCCAGCUGCCCCCACUCAGCACCUAUGGUGCGGGGAAGGCGACCGGUGCAAGCCACUGCCUAUAUGAUUUGCAACUGGGCAGGUGAACUCUUCCCUGCAGCUGGAUGAAUAAUGAAUGGAGCCGGGAAUGGAAACAGAGAGAGAGCCCAACAGUGGAUGAAGUCGUCCCUCUCCCACCACGCCACUCCCUUCCCCCUCUGCAAGUGCUAACCCAGCCACUGUCCCCGCGGCUCUGAGCAGGCUCUUGAAGAAGUGGGUUGGAGCCCCCCCAACCCCCCAAAGAAACCCCAGGGAUAAGAGAAGCUCACACACUGUCGUUGACCACUUCUUCUUCCUUGAGAAGCAGGCAGCCUCGUGCUCUCGGUGCCGAUUAAGAUUUAUUUCAUAGCAACUGAAACCUCACCAUCCAGAGCACUCUAACCUACUACUUAUAAAAUCUUAAGUGGUCUUUAAGAGGGGAGACUUAUUGGAGCGAGGAAAGCAAAACAGAACAGCGGAGCUUAGGUGAGGAUUGAGAGCAACUGCUCGCUUCUCACUUAGCUUCCGAGUAGCUGCUUUUCCUUGAGGAGAAGGGUAGAAGUGGAAGGAAGAUUCAUCCAGGUUCAGAAAUGUCACCUCAAGGGGCCACCCACCCCCCAAAAAAGCAAAGAGGAGGCCGUGGCCAGGCUGAGAUUUGACCGCAAGAGAAACCAGGAGUGGGGAUUUGAGCCGGGAGUAAAACCCACUCCACCUCCACCUCUCGCCUCAAAUCAAAACUUCCACCCAACCCACAAUACUAAACCCGGCUGAGUCUUUUAAACUGCACGGACGAACACAUACGGGGUUCCGCUCUUUUUACCUUCGCAAUGAGGCAAUACUGCAAAUUCCGCCAGCGCUAGGGCCACCCCGAGCCACGCUUUGAAGACACCCAUCGCCGCCGCGACACUCUCGCAGGAGGAGCCCAGCCUUCAGCAUCCAAGAACCUGCUCUCCUCCAAACCCCAGGCUGCGGCGCCGGGAGCCGGGACCCGCAGAUAGUGGGGAAGCGCGGGUCUGCUCGGCCGGGAGCCGAGGUUGGCCGGGUGGACCGGAGAAGGAUGCCGCCGACUGCAACCCUCAGUCAGCCGGGAGGCUCACUCUGCUCUCCCGCAGAGCGGCCACCAAGGUGAGCCGAGCCUGCGAGGAGGAGGCAAAGCUUAAACCGCCGCUAAGUCUAAGCAGGAAAGUUGCAGGUCAGUGGCUGCUGGGAUCCCGCAGCAUUGCCUCGGGUUAGACCAGUUCCUCCCGAGGUCCCCAACUGGCGAGCUGCAGGCGCAGGUUCCUUCUCGACAGCUUUUCAAAGUUCUCUCGGCACGCCCCCGUCUGUCGGUGUAGCAUCGGCCGAGGGCGGUCGCCGCGAACACACGGGGCCGGGCCACAGCAGCGCUCAGGGAGCUCGGCCGUGCAGGGCCGCUGGCUGCAAACUUUGUGCGGCCCUGCAGGAGCUCCGGGACUCCGGGGCGCUGCAGCCGCACCGCACCACGCCGCCCGGCUGCUGCAGGCGCUUCCAGAGCUCCACGCGAAAGGUGGCGCGGGGGGCGCUGCUGCCACUUUCUAGCCCCCGCCCCUAGCCGAGAGGAGGAGUGCUGAGGGGCGCGGCUUGCUCCACACCGACGCCCACCUCCCCGCACCGUGCACCCCCGAGCUGCGCUGCAGGGCGGAGGUGCGAUUACCCAAGUGGAGGUGGAGCCAUAAUUGUAGAUGCACCGAGGAAAGAGAGGGGUUAGAAAAGACGCCUCCGAACUCAAUGCUCCUCAGAUGAGGGGCCUGGAAACGCACAAGAUAAGUCCCCGAGUGGAUCCCCGCAUUUAAAGCACACACGCUCCGCCUUCCUCCGCCUCUCUCGCCUCCUUCCUCUCUCCUUUGCUGGGUGUGAAAAUGGACUCAGAGACUCUGAGCUUUGGCAAAGAUUCCAGAGAGUCACGUGGGGAAGGGGAGCCGCGGUGAGGGGGUGGGGGAAGGCGAGAGAGCAACCUGAUCCCCUUAUUCAUCCUGCAGGAGUUGGAUUGGCUUUGUCUGAGGCGGGAUCAAAAGUGGUCACACCGAGGGCGGGGUGGAAACAGGACGUUGGGUCUCCAUUCAGGCACUGUUGAGGGUACUUUAGCGACAGGGUGCUCACACCCAAGUCCUAACUGCUACCUCUCUACCUCUCAGUUUGCCCACCGCUGCUGAACACAGAGUCUGGAGCGGAACUGAUGGCCUUCUUCGCUUUUUGAACACUCAGGGGGUUUUCCCUGUAGCCUGGCAGUCACGGGUGCUCUAGGUUGAGAUUCCCACGGUGAGUGCACCUCUAGAGUUUCCUAAAAGACUGAAAACACCACAGGACAUGGGUGGGUCCAGCUGAGUCUCCAAAUGUCAAUGACUGGGAAGCCAAAGCCAGGGCAAAAGCAUCCUGGUGUGCACACUUGGUGGUAGGUGAGGAAUGGGGUGGGGUUUGGUUUCCAGCCAGUACUGAGGGAUAGCUAUUUUUAGAGGACUAAAUAAAAAUAGCUGGCCCAGGUUUGAUCAUUUUUUUGUAACUGGGGAUCGUUGCAUGGGAGAGAUACAGACUGGAUUUCGAUGGGCAGACAGAAAAGAUUCCCAGAUUAUCUUGGCAGAGCUGUUGACGGCUAGACUGUCCAGAAAGGACUUCGAAGUGGCAGUGAACACGGAGCUGUUCAGGGUGGUGGGCAGGCAUCUUAAUAGACUCCAAUAUUGCUGAGGACCACUGGGGAGGCCCAUGUUCUAAAGCACGCCGAUAGUACCUGAACUCCUUGCUUUUUAGAAUAAGUGAAUGAAAUGAAACUGGAGGAUCCCUAACUGUCACCACCUAGCCAUAGCGACACUGGAUUGACCUGGGUGUGGCUGUUGAAUAUUUAGAGGACUUAGGAAUUGCCCAGCUCCUCCUCAAAGCUCUCCGGAGCCAUUCUGGAGACAGCAGCGUUUUUUAAUCUCUGUAUUUUGAAGCACAUAUGGGAACUCUGUAAACAUUUGUUGAAAGAGUGCCCUGAAUCAAGCCAGUAACCACCUCCAGAGUUCAGCCACAGCUUGGAAAGGACCUGAGUCCUCCCUCCUCCCACUUCCCCUCUCUUGGUUUAGAAAGUAUAGUUCUCAGGCCAAUGGAAAGUAAUGUCCAAAUUCACGUUGAUAGACACUAGCGACCCCUAACCCCUCCUAAACAGUUAUUGUGUAACCACCACUGACGAGGAGUAACUUAAGACAGCUGGUUCCCCUAGAAUAAACUAUUGGAUUUCGUUUUUAAGAAAGCAUGCAAUUGGGCUGGGGAGAUGGCUCAGUGGUUAAGAGCACUGACUGCCCUUCCAGAGGUCCUGAGUUCAAAUCCCAGCCUAUAUAUUAAAUAAAUAAAUGUUAAAAAAAAGCAUACAAUUGUGGCACUCAAAGGGGUCUCAAAACGUCUUUUGUACUUGCUAAAUGAAAACAAUCUUUAAAAAGGAAAAGGUAGAGAGAGGGGUAGAAGCAUCGCCACAUGCUAUCAUCAUGUACAGAGUUUGCGGCUCUUAACAAGUUGUUCAUAAAACAUCCCUCCCUUCACCACAAGCCCUCCACCAGUUUCCAUGGUCUUCUCUCUUCCCCAGGAGCAAAUGGUCCAACGGUCCCCACCCCAAGAGCACUAAAAUCUCUGCUCACAGAGAAGUCUAUAUUCUUCUACGAUGGGUCUUUUACAGUUGUGUUUCUCUGCUCUCAGGAAAAUGGCGAUCCUUCUUUUUCUUUCUGUAUUUCUUUCUUCUGAGUGGCCUGCGUAUACUUCCUUCUGUUCGUUUCUAUGUAGAAUUUUUUUUUGCAUUUCUCACACAGUCGGUAUAUUAAUCAUUCUCUGUGAACUCAGAUACUGUUUUAUAAAAGGAUGAGGCAACUCAUUGUUUUGUGGGGAAAUAAGUUUCCUUAUCGGUAUCAUUUGAAAUGUACACAAGGUUAAAACCAAGAAAAAAGGUUUUGUACCUAGAACCGUUUUACUGGAAUAAAAUGAGCAAACCCUCCAAGGUUUUAAAA